GUAGGGCUCUGCAAUGUCGGAGGCAGGCAAAACACCCAGUCCUGCAACCAAGCCUCCGCGGCCCGAAGACCCGCGGCUCCCCACACAUGUGCACAGAGAAAAGUCCACAUGAGAACAAAGAGAGAAGGCAGCCAUCUGAAAGCCAAGGAGAAAGACUUUAGAAGAAACCAAACUGCCAACACUUUGAUCUUGAACUUCCAGCCUCUAGAACGACUCUUACCAAUUGAAAAGAAGUCUUUCUAGAUUUCUAAUUUCCAGUCCAUCAUGGAAGGAGCUUAUCCUGUCCUCACAAGAAAAAGGGUAAACUAAAAAUCAACAACUCUACUUCUAUCCAUCAGAGAAUCGAAGUCACAGGACAAACCACCACUCCCAAGAUUAGAGAGACAAACAAAUACAGAGAAUCACAACUUAAUAAAGCAGAAAGCCAAGAGCAGAAACUGCCACUGGCAUCAGUACCAGGCAGAAAACAAUAGAAAGAACUCCAUGGCUCAGUCUUUAUUUAAGAAGAAGUCUCUAGGGAAACCCAAAGACAACAGGAGACAAAAACAAGGAUGUUAGGAGAAAUUUUAGCUUAGGACACCUACAGCUUUAGCAGACAGUAAACAGAGCCUAACUCCUAACCAGAUAAACAUAAAACUUCACACUAAAGACCUGUUGACCUCAGAUCUUUUUGUCCAGCACAAAAUGUCCAGCUGCCGUCAACAACAACAACAACAACAAAACUGCAAGGUGUACUGAAAGAAAAAACACAGUGUGAAGAGAGAGAAAGAAUCAGAACCAAAACUCAGACGUGGCAGAGAUAUUGCGACUAUCAGGCCAGGAAUUUGAAACAACUGAGAUAUUCGAAUGGAAAAAGUGGACAACGUGCAAGAACAUAUGAAUAAUGUAAGCAGAGAGAUGAAAAUGCUAAGAAAGAAUAGAGAGGAAAUGCCAGAAAUCAAAAACGCUGUGGCAGAAAUGAGGAAUGCCUGAAUGAGCUCAUCGACAGACUGGACAUGGUUGAGAAGAGUUGGGGAGAAUGAAGAAAAAUGAAGAUUCCUUAAAGAAACUGCACUUAUUAUAAAAGAAAUAAAUGCUGAACUCCAACUAGGAAAUUGGUAGAAGAGCAUAUCUGAGAAAAGAUGCUUGGCAUUAGAUCAACUUAGUGAACACGAGUUAUCUGUUGGGAUUAUCGCUAAUUGAAUUCAAGGACUUUAACAUUUUACUCGAGUUUUGUGGAGUAAGCAUUGUCAAAUUGCAAUAUUUAUGACAAACAUUUAAUGACAAAUAUAUCAUGCUUGCUAUCUGAUGAAAUCGCGUUUGUUGGCUAAUGAAAUAAUUUUAAGAGAA